UAACAUAAGCCUGAGACCACUGUGUCUAAAGU
rnacentral:piRNA from 1 species